rnacentral:rRNA from 1 species
UACGAAGGGGGCUAGCGUUGCUCGGAAUCACUGGGCGUAAAGGGUGCGUAGGCGGGUCUUUAAGUCAGGGGUGAAAUCCUGGAGCUCAACUCCAGAACUGCCUUUGAUACUGAGGAUCUUGAGUCCGGGAGAGGUGAGUGGAACUGCGAGUGUAGAGGUGAAAUUCGUAGAUAUUCGCAAGAACACCAGUGGCGAAGGCGGCUCACUGGCCCGGUACUGACGCUGAGGAGCGAAAGCGUGGGGAGCGAACAGG